UUGAGGACAGGUGGUGCAUGGUUGUCGUCAGCUCGUGUCGUGAGAUGUUGGGUUAAGUCCCGCAACGAGCGCAACCUUGUGUUUAGUUGCAAACAGGUCAAGCUGUGCACUCUAGACAGACUGCCGUGGACAACACGGAGGAAGGUGGGGAUGACGUCAAAUCAUCAUGCCCCUUAUGAUCUGGGCUACACACGUGCUACAAUGGCCGGUACAACGGGCAGCGAAGGAGCGAUCCGGAGCGAAUCCUAAAAAGCCGGUCCCAGUUCGGAUUGCAGGCUGAAACUCGCCUACAUGAAGUUGGAGUUGCUAGUAAUCGCGAAUCAGAAUGUCGCGGUGAAUACGUUCCCGGGUCUU
rnacentral:rRNA from 1 species